rnacentral:rRNA from 1 species
UACAGAGGCCUCGAGCGUUAGGCGGAAUCACUGGGCUUAAAGCGUGUGUAGGCGGACUUCUAAGUGCCUUGUGAAAUCCCACGGCUCACCCGUGGAAACGGCUGGGGCAUACUGGGGAGUCUUGAGCCACCUAGGGGCUGCCGGAACAAAUGGUGGAGCGGUGAAAUGCGUAGAUAUCAUUUGGAACGCCAACGGAGAAAUCAGGCAGCUGGGGGGUGUGACUGACGCUGAGACACGAAAGCCAGGGGAGCGAACGGG